CCUUCCGGGAAGCUAAACAUGCAGCCGAGCGGUAGAGAUUCUUCGGAAUCUUGAGAGCGGCGUACGGGUGCGGAACACGUGUGCAACCUACCUUUAUCAGGGGGAUAGCCUUUCGAAAGGAAGAUUAAUACCCCAUAAUAUAUUGAAUGGCAUCAUUUAAUAUUGAAAACUCCGGUGGAUAGAGAUGGGCACGCGCAAGAUUAGAUAGUUGGUAGGGUAACGGCCUACCAAGUCAAUGAUCUUUAGGGGGCCUGAGAGGGUGAUCCCCCACACUGGUACUGAGACACGGACCAGACUCCUACGGGAGGCAGCAGUGAGGAAUAUUGGACAAUGGGUGAGAGCCUGAUCCAGCCAUCCCGCGUGAAGGACGACGGCCCUAUGGGUUGUAAACUUCUUUUGUAUAGGGAUAAACCUACUCUCGUGAGAGUAGCUGAAGGUACUAUACGAAUAAGCACCGGCUAACUCCGUGCCAGCAGCCGCGGUAAUACGGAGGGUGCAAGCGUUAUCCGGAUUUAUUGGGUUUAAAGGGUCCGUAGGCGGAUCUGUAAGUCAGUGGUGAAAUCUCAUAGCUUAACUAUGAAACUGCCAUUGAUACUGCAGGUCUUGAGUAAAGUAGAAGUGGCUGGAAUAAGUAGUGUAGCGGUGAAAUGCAUAGAUAUUACUUAGAACACCAAUUGCGAAGGCAGGUCACUAUGUUUUAACUGACGCUGAUGGACGAAAGCGUGGGGAGCGAACAGGAUUAGAUACCCUGGUAGUCCACGCCGUAAACGAUGCUAACUCGUUUUUGGGUUUUCGGAUUCAGAGACUAAGCGAAAGUGAUAAGUUAGCCACCUGGGGAGUACGUUCGCAAGAAUGAAACUCAAAGGAAUUGACGGGGGCCCGCACAAGCGGUGGAUUAUGUGGUUUAAUUCGAUGAUACGCGAGGAACCUUACCAAGGCUUAAAUGGGAAUUGACAGGUUUAGAAAUAGACUUUUCUUCGGACAAUUUUCAAGGUGCUGCAUGGUUGUCGUCAGCUCGUGCCGUGAGGUGUUAGGUUAAGUCCUGCAACGAGCGCAACCCCUGUCACUAGUUGCCAUCAUUCAGUUGGGGACUCUAGUGAGACUGCCUACGCAAGUAGAGAGGAAGGUGGGGAUGACGUCAAAUCAUCACGGCCCUUACGCCUUGGGCCACACACGUAAUACAAUGGCCAGUACAGAGGGCAGCUACCAGGCGACUGGAUGCGAAUCUCGAAAGCUGGUCUCAGUUCGGAUUGGAGUCUGCAACUCGACUCUAUGAAGCUGGAAUCGCUAGUAAUCGCAUAUCAGCCAUGAUGCGGUGAAUACGUUCCCGGGCCUUGUACACUCCGCCCGUCAAGCCAUGGAAGUUUGGGGUACCUGAAGUCGGUGACCGUAACAGGAGCUGCCUAGGGUAAA
rnacentral:rRNA from 1 species